rnacentral:rRNA from 1 species
UUGAUUGGUGCUUGCAUCAUGAUUUACAUUUGAGUGAGUGGCGAACUGGUGAGUAACACGUGGGAAACCUGCCCAGAAGCGGGGGAUAACACCUGGAAACAGAUGCUAAUACCGCAUAACAACUUGGACCGCAUGGUCCGAGCUUGAAAGAUGGCUUCGGCUAUCACUUUUGGAUGGUCCCGCGGCGUAUUAGCUAGAUGGUGGGGUAACGGCUCACCAUGGCAAUGAUACGUAGCCGACCUGAGAGGGUAAUCGGCCACAUUGGGACUGAGACACGGCCCAAACUCCUACGGGAGGCAGCAGUAGGGAAUCUUCCACAAUGGACGAAAGUCUGAUGGAGCAACGCCGCGUGAGUGAAGAAGGGUUUCGGCUCGUAAAACUCUGUUGUUAAAGAAGAACAUAUCUGAGAGUAACUGUUCAGGUAUUGACGGUAUUUAACCAGAAAGCCACGGCUAACUACGUGCCAGCAGCCGCGGUAAUACGUAGGUGGCAAGCGUUGUCCGGAUUUAUUGGGCGUAAAGCGAGCGCAGGCGGUUUUUUAAGUCUGAUGUGAAAGCCUUCGGCUCAACCGAAGAAGUGCAUCGGAAACUGG